rnacentral:rRNA from 1 species
AGAUGGGCAUGCGUGACAUUAGCUAGUUGGUAAGGUAACGGCUUACCAAGGCAACGAUGUCUAGGGGCUCUGAGAGGAUGAUCCCCCACACUGGUACUGAGACACGGACCAGACUCCUACGGGAGGCAGCAGUGAGGAAUAUUGGUCAAUGGGCGCAAGCCUGAACCAGCCAUCCCGCGUGCAGGAUGACGGCCCUAUGGGUUGUAAACUGCUUUUGUACAGGAAGAAAAAUCCCUACGUGUAGGGACCUGCCGGUACUGUACGAAUAAGCAUCGGCUAACUCCGUGCCAGCAGCCGCGGUAAUACGGAGGAUGCAAGCGUUAUCCGGAUUCAUUGGGUUUAAAGGGUGCGUAGGCGGCUUUUUAAGUCAGUGGUGAAAUCCUGUCGCUCAACGAUAGAAUUGCCAUUGAUACCGAAGAGCUUGAGUACAAUUGAGGUAAGCGGAAUGUGUAGUGUAGCGGUGAAAUGCUUAGAUAUUACACAGAACACCAAUUGCGAAGGCAGCUACUAAACUGUCACUGACGCUGAUGCGCGAAAGCGUGGGGUGCGAACAGGAUUAGAUACCCUGGUAGUCCACGCCGUAAACGUUGAUCACUCGCUGUAUCGUACACAGUUGGGCCCGGCGAAACCAUUAA